AUGAUCCACGGAGACCUCGCCGAAGCUGUAAUGAAGUCCAAACACUUCUUCACUGACAAAGAAUGGAGAAGAACAAAAUUAAACUUAAAGAGAAUGAGCAGACUUUACUCAUCAUCUAGUGCAGUAUUUCUCAAACUUUUUACACUGCGUACCAACUCAUUAGGCUCGCCACGUACCGUUAUGACCAACGUUGGCCGACUCUUUAACUACGGACAGCUCCUGUAAAGAGUAUUCCCUGCUGAAAAUCUCGACCUACCCUCUUCAAGAGGUCUCAACUGCAGAUGCUGGUUUGAAAAUAUUAAGCUGCAUCUCUACUUCAUUCAUAUUCAUAAACGGACCUUCAUUCUCUCAACAAGGACCAGUAAUCUAUCAGAUUUUAGGCCUAUGCAAUCUAUACCUGCUAUAUUUUCACUGUAGUAGAAGUAGUAGAACAAAAAUUUUGACACAAGUAGAUUCUGCACAAUCUUUUUGAUACAUUCACAAGCUUUUGGUCAUAUACCUUCUUCAUAAUAUACUCUGUACAGCUAACAAACUUGAUGCCCAGAAAUCUGAGGGAAGAGAUGGGAUGUAAAUGUUUAUAUUUAUUUAGAAUAUUUUACUUGGAUGUAAAAAAUUGUCUUUUUAUUCUGCUUUGCAUGUAGCUUCCCUCUUUUAUGUUGGUUUGCAGUUUUCUGGCCAGAUUUUCUCUUACAGUUUGAGCAGUUCCACAGUCCAGUUUCCCACAUGAUGUGCAGAAAGACUGGUUAAAGCUGCAGCAGGUCAUUUUUUAUAAAACUAACUUUUUGUCAUUUUUGUUGAAACUUUCCCUAUAUCCUGACAGUAGUACAUGAGACAGAUAAUCUGUGAAACAAUCUGGUUCUUCUGGCCUAUUCUAGUACGCCUAAUAGUUUUUGCAAGAAGAAAAACCACCAAUCAGAGCUGAGAAAGAUAUAGCGAUGCGUUGGGUUGGAAGCUUGAAGAUAGUUGAUUGUUGAAUCUCAUUCCCAGGGUCCCAAAGCAUCUGUAUUUGACGCCCUCGGAAUUAAACUCAACUUUCUUGGCUCUGACUGGUUGUCAUUCUGGCCCGAUGCAUUCUUGCAGAUGUCAUUAGGAGCACUAGGAUGAGCCAGAGGAACCUGAUCUCUCAUGUAUUACUGUCAGGAUACAGUAAGGUUCAGCAAGUAUGAAUUAACUACUGCAGCUUUAAAAUGGGUAUAUUAAGAAAAACUAACUUCAAUGCCAAUUUCAG
rnacentral:lncRNA from 1 species